GAGGUAAAGGCUUACCAUUGGCGACGAUCAGUAGCUGGUCUUGAGAGCAUGAGCAGCCACACUGGACUGAGACACGGCCCAGACUCCUACGGGAGGCAGCAGUGGGGAAUUUUCCGCAAUGGGCGUAAGCCUGACGGAGCAAUACCGCGUGAGGGAGGAAGGCUCUUGGGUUGUACACCUCAAAACUUAGGGAAGAAUAAAUGACGGUACUCUAAUGUAAGCAUCGGCUAACUCCGUGCCAGCAGCCGCGGUAAUACGGAGGAUGCAAGCGUUAUCCGGUAAUCAUUGGGCGUAAAGAGUCCGUAGGUGGCACUUCAAGUCUGCUUUCAAAGACCGAAGCUCAACUUCGGAAAGGGAGUGGAAACUGAAGAGCUAGAGUAUAGUAGGGGUAGAGGGAAUUCCUAGUGUAGCGGUGAAAUGCGUAGAGAUUAGGAAGAACACCAGUGGCGAAGGCGCUCUACUGGGCAUAUACUGACACUGAGGGACGAAAGCUAGGGGAGCGAAAGGGAUUAGAUACCCCUGUAGUCCUAGCGGUAAACGAUGGAUACUAGGCGUAGUGCUGUUAGAAGGACUGUGCCGAAGCUAACGCGUUAAGUAUCCCGCCUGGGGAGUACGCACGCAAGUGUGAAACUCAUAAGGAAUUGACGGGGACCCGCACAAGCGGUGGAGUAUGUGGUUUAAUUCGAUGCAACGCGAAGAACCUUACCAAGGCUUGACAUCCUGCGAAUCUUGGAGAAAUCUGAGAGUGCCUAAGGGAACGCAGAGACAGGUGGUGCAUGGCUGUCGUCAGCUCGUGUCGUGAGAUGUUGGGUUAAGUCCCGCAACGAGCGCAACCCUCGUCCUUAGUUGCCAGCAUUAAGUUGGGGACUCUAGGGAGACCGCCGGGGAGAACUCGGAGGAAGGUGGGGAUGACGUCAAGUCAGCAUGCCCCUUACGUCUUGGGCUACACACGUACUACAAUGGUUGGGACAAAGGGGAGCGAAACCGCGAGGUGGAGCGAAUCUCAUCAAACCCAGCCACAGUUCAGAUUGCAGGCUGAAACUCGCCCGCAUGAAGGAGGAAUCGCUAGUAAUCGCAGGUCAGCAUACUGCGGUGAAUCCGUUCCCGGGUCUUGUACACACCGCCCGUCACACCAUGGAAGUUGGUCACGUCCCGAAGUCGUUAUUCUAACCCAAGUGGAAGGAGACGCCGAAGGUGGG
rnacentral:rRNA from 1 species